UCACUGAUUGGAAACGUGACGCCUCGGGA
rnacentral:piRNA from 1 species